rnacentral:rRNA from 1 species
CAUGCAGCCGAACGGGCCCUCGUCGGGUUCACGGGGUCGCGUCGCGCGCUCCGGCGUGUGUGGGCACUCUUACGAGGCCCGCCGUGUCGGCGAGCGUGGCGCACCUCUGCACUCCCGACGGUUUCGGGCCGGCCAAGCGCGGUGGUGUCCAGGGCGAAGAGGGCUGUCGGGUAGGUGGUGCAGCCGGUCGCAAGACUGGAGGCGAACUUAUAGCCGGCGGUCUGGCACGUCCCGGGUCCACCGAGGAGAGUGGUGGCUUGUUCCACCCCAGCAGCACAGGCCUCCUUCGGGGGGCAGGGGCGCUUCUGUUCGUUCGGCCUCCGCGUCAAGAGACUGCUUGUCAGUGUCCGGCGUCGGUGUGCAGGUCCGGGCGGGGGAUGUCUCACUCCUUGUGCUGCGGUCGCUUGGCGAGCCGU